GGGAGGCAGCAGUGGGGAAUUUUGGACAAUGGGGGAAACCCUGAUCCAGCCAUCCCGCGUGUGCGAUGAAGGCCUUCGGGUUGUAAAGCACUUUUGGCAGGAAAGAAACGUCAUGGGUUAAUACCCCGUGAAACUGACGGUACCUGCAGAAUAAGCACCGGCUAACUACGUGCCAGCAGCCGCGGUAAUACGUAGGGUGCAAGCGUUAAUCGGAAUUACUGGGCGUAAAGCGUGCGCAGGCGGUUCGGAAAGAAAGAUGCGAAAUCCCAGAGCUUAACUUUGGAACUGCAUUUUUAACUACCGGGCUAGAGUGUGUCAGAGGGAGGUGGAAUUCCGCGUGUAGCAGUGAAAUGCGUAGAUAUGCGGAGGAACACCGAUGGCGAAGGCAGCCUCCUGGGAUAACACUGACGCUCAUGCACGAAAGCGUGGGGAGCAAACAGGAUUAGAUACCCUGGUAGUCCACGCCCUAAACGAUGUCAACUAGCUGUUGGGGCCUUCGGGCCUUGGUAGCGCAGCUAACGCGUGAAGUUGACCGCCUGGGGAGUACGGUCGCAAGAUUAAAACUCAAAUGAAUUGACGG
rnacentral:rRNA from 1 species